UUGCAGGGGGGUGGUGUCAAUAGGUUGCUUUGAAAUUUGAGCAUCGAAAUAAUAAAGAAUGCAGUUAUAACCCGCCUUAUGAGUGGCAAGUUUACAAGUAUGCAAGAUUUCAUUGCACUCUUAAUGGUUGUUAUGGAAUUCCUUUGGUCCAUUACAAAGGUCGCCUAGGAAACUAUUACAUUCUUGUCAUGGAUAUGCUAGGCCCAAGUUUGUGGGAUGUUUGGAGCACUAAGAACCAGAUGCUGUCUGAAGAGAUGGUUUCUUGUAUAGCAGUGGAGGCAAUACCAAUCUUACAGCAGCUUCACUUUAAGGGGUACCUCACUUUCUCUCUCUCCCUCUCUCUCUCUCUCUCUCUCUCUCUCAUAUGUAUAUAUGCACAUGUAUUCUGAGCAUGCUCAUAGUUAAUUUUAUUUGGUGAUUGAUGGUGUAGGCACUACAAGUUAGUUUUUGCAUAAGUCUCAUCUGCAAUAUAUAUGUAUACAAAAUAGUCUCACUUGCAUGACAAAUCCAACACGAAUGUUUUGACAUUCUGUUUAACUAAUGUAAGAGUCAAUGCAUAGUUGGUUCCAAGAAGUGAAUUGAGAAACUUCCCAACUAGAGAUGGAAUGGAAGAAUAUUUCCAAUCACAAUUUUUGCGUAGUUGUUAGUGAUGAGUGUUAUUUAGUACAUAACCAGAUUAAAUUGGUAUGGUACGAUUAAAACCAGAGGGUGUUCACUUCAAGUUAAAAAUAUUCUUUGAUUAUUUACAGUAAUAGUGAUGGUGCAUAUAGUACAUAACUGCA